AGCCCAAGAUUGAAAGCUGGCGUCUUCGGCGUCCGCAUUGUAAUCUCAAGAAGUGUUUUCCGCUUCGGACCAAGCCUAAGUCCCCUGGAAAGGGGCAUCAUAGAGGGUGAUAAUCCCGUACAUGGCUUGGAGCGCCCGUAGCUUUGUGAUACACUUUCUAAGAGUCGAGUUGUUUGGGAAUGCAGCUCAAAAUGGGUGGUAAAUGCCAUCUAAGGCUAAAUAUUGGGGAGAGACCGAUAGCGAACAAGUACAGUGAUGGAAAGAUGAAAAGAACUUUGAAAAGAGAGUUAAACAGUACGUGAAAUUGCCAAAAGGGAAGGGUAGGAGGUCAGAGAUGCGGCCUAGGAUUCAGCCUUGCUUUUGCUUGGUGUUUUUCCUAGAUUGCAGGCCAACGUCGGUUUUGGGCACUGGAGAAGGGUGGAAGGAACGUGGCACCUCUCGGGGUGUGUUAUAGCCUUCUACUGGAUA
rnacentral:rRNA from 1 species